rnacentral:rRNA from 1 species
ACGAACGCUGGCGGCGUGCUUAACACAUGCAAGUCGAACGGAAAGGCCCUGCUUUUGUGGGGUGCUCGAGUGGCGAACGGGUGAGUAACACGUGAGUAACCUGCCCUUGACUUUGGGAUAACUUCAGGAAACUGGGGCUAAUACCGGAUAGGAGCUCCUGCUGCAUGGUGGGGGUUGGAAAGUUUCGGCGGUUGGGGAUGGACUCGCGGCUUAUCAGCUUGUUGGUGGGGUAGUGGCUUACCAAGGCUUUGACGGGUAGCCGGCCUGAGAGGGUGACCGGCCAACAUGGGACUGGGAAUAGGCCCAGACUCCUACGGGAGGCAGCAGUGGGGAAUAUUGCACAAUGGGCGGAAGCCUGAUGCAGCAACGCCGCGUGCGGGAUGACGGCCUUCGGGUUGUAAACCGCUUUCGCCUGUGACGAAGCGUGAGUGACGGUAAUGGGUAAAGAAGCACCGGCUAACUACGUG